rnacentral:rRNA from 1 species
UACAGAGGUCUCAAGCGUUGUUCGGAUUCAUUGGGCGUAAAGGGUGCGUAGGUGGUGGGGCAAGUUUGGUGUGAAAUCCCGGGGCUCAACCCCGGAACUGCACUGAAUACUGCCUUGCUUGAGCACUGGAGAGGGAACUGGAAUUUACGGUGUAGCAGUGAAAUGCGUAGAUAUCGUAAGGAAGACCAGUGGCGAAGGCGAGUUCCUGGACAGUUGCUGACACUGAGGCACGCAGGCUAGGGGAGCAAA